rnacentral:rRNA from 1 species
AGAAUGAACGCUGGCGGCGUGCUUUACACAUGCAAGUCGAGCGAGGCGGCCCGCAAGGGCCAGUCGAGCGGCGAACGGGUGAGUAACGCGUGGAUAACCUGCCCAGAGGUGGGGAAUAACCCGGGGAAACUCGGGCUAAUACCGCAUGAUACCUAGCGGUCAAAGAGGGGUCGCAAGAUCUCUUGCCACUGGAGGGGUCCGCGUUCGAUUAGCUAGUUGGCGGGUAAAGGCCCACCAAGGCGACGAUCCGUAGCUGGUCUGAGAGGAUGAUCAGCCACGACUGGAACUGAGACACGGUCCAGACUCCUACGGGAGGCAGCAGUGGGGAAUAUUGGACAAUGGGCGCAAGCCUGAUCCAGCCAUGCCGCGUGUGUGAAGAAGGCCUUCGGGUUGUAAAGCACUUUUGUACGGAAGAAAAGCGACCGGAUUAAUACCCUGGCGUCAUGACGGUACCGUAAGAAUAAGCACCGGCUAACUUCGUGCUAGCAGCCGCGGU